GAUGAAGAACGCAGCGAAAUGGGAUAAGUAAUGUGAAUUGCAGAAUUCAGUGAAUCAUCGAAUCUUUGAACGCACAUUGCGCCCGCCAGUAUUCUGGCGGGCAUGCCUGUCUGAGCGUCAUUUCAACCCUCAUGCCCCUAGGGCGUGGUGUUGGGGAUCGGCCAAAGCCCGCGAGGGACGGCCGGCCCCUAAAUCUAGUGGCGGACCCGUCGUGGCCUCCUCUGCGAAGUAGUGAUAUUCCGCAUCGGAGAGCGACGAGCCCCUGCCGUUAAACCCCCAACUUUCCAAGGUUGACCUCAGAUCAGGUAGGAAUACCCGCUGAACUUAAGCAUAUCAAUAAGCGGAGGA
rnacentral:misc_RNA from 1 species